rnacentral:rRNA from 1 species
GAUAAACGCUGGCGGCGCACAUAAGACAUGCAAGUCGAACGGACUCAACCAAAAUGUUUACAUUUUGGAGCGGUUAGUGGCGGACUGGUGAGUAACACGUAAGCAACCUGCCUAUUAGAGGGGAAUAACAGUGAGAAAUCAUUGCUAAUACCGCAUAUGCCAUAGAGACCACAUGGUUUCAGUGGGAAAGGAGCAAUCCGCUAAUAGAUGGGCUUGCGUCUGAUUAGAUAGUUGGUGGGGUAACGGCCUACCAAGUCGACGAUCAGUAGCCGGACUGAGAGGUUGAACGGCCACAUUGGGACUGAGAUACGGCCCAG